rnacentral:rRNA from 1 species
UUCAGGGGUAAACCUGAGAAACCCGAAAGGUCGAAAGGGGAAAUUCAUUCGCGUCUCGACCGUCGGAGUGGGGCGAUCGAGUGACGGACGGCGUACGCGUCGUCCGCGCCUUUCGUUCUAUUAUUCGGCGUCGAACGCGUGCACUUUUCCCCUAGUAGGACGUCGCGAUCCGUUGGGUGUCGGUCUAAGGCUCGCGGUGGAGCCCGGGCGUACGUCUUCGGGCGUUUGCGCUCGGACCCGCGGUGUCCCGGCCGACCCGCUCGACGGUAUACAGAUGGCGCGGGGCCGCUACUUUAGUUAGCGUUCGGCCCGCGGCAAGCGCGUACGGUGUUGGCGGCGAUCGGACCUACCGCCGAUCCCGUCCCCGGACGACUGUUGGCUGCGGUGUUCUCGAACAGACCCUGGUUUUGAAACGCCGAUCUGCGACGCUAUAGCUUUGGGUACUUUCAUGACCCACGGACCAAGGAGUCUAGCAUGUGCGCGAGUCAUUGGGACAUAACUAAACCUAAAGGCGCAAUGAAAGUGAAGGUUCGCCUCGCGCGAACCGAGGGAGGAUGGGCGGUUCGUACUUCGUGCGGCCGCUCCGCACUCCCGGGGCGUCUCGUUCUCAUCGCGAGAAGAGGCGCACCAAGAGC